AAAACCCUGCUGUGUGCGUGAUCAAGCUGAUGUUUUGAACCAACACAUUUACCUAGGGAGCUGUACUUCGGUUGUGGCGUGUAAGCCUUUAUCUAGAAGGACACACAAAGCAACCGGGAGGCACCCACCUGCGAGAGGCGGGUUCAGGUAACCUUCAGUUGAAACGACACGGCGGGGUUUUU
rnacentral:other from 1 species